GAUGAACGCUAGCGAUAGGCUUAACACAUGCAAGUCGAGGGGCAGCAUUAUUUUAGCUUGCUAAGAUAGAUGGCGACCGGUGCACGGGUGCGUAACGCGUAUGCAACCUGCCUGUAAUUAGGGAAUAACCCGGUGAAAGUCGGACUAAUACCCUAUAUUCUUCUUUCUCCGCAUGGAGGAGGACGGAAAGAUUUAUUGAUUACAGAUGGGCAUGCGUCCCAUUAGCUAGUUGGUAAGGUAACGGCUUACCAAGGCAACGGUGGGUAGGGGGACUGAGAGGUUGACCCCCCACACUGGUACUGAGACACGGACCAGACUCCUACGGGAGGCAGCAGUGAGGAAUAUUGGUCAAUGGGCGAGAGCCUGAACCAGCCAAGUCGCGUGAAGGACGACGGUUCUAUGGAUUGUAAACUUCUUUUGUAGAGGAAUAACGGCAGCUACGUGUAGCUGAGAUGCAUGUAC
rnacentral:rRNA from 1 species